rnacentral:rRNA from 1 species
UACGUAGGGUGCAAGCGUUGUCCGGAAUUAUUGGGCGUAAAGAGCUCGUAGGCGGCUUGUCACGUCGACUGUGAAAACCCGGGGCUCAACUCCGGGCCUGCAGUGGGUACGGGCAGACUAGAGUGCGGUAGGGGAGAUUGGAAUUCCUGGUGUAGCGGUGGAAUGCGCAGAUAUCAGGAGGAACACCGAUGGCGAAGGCAGAUCUCUGGGCCGUAACUGACGCUGAGGAGCGAAAGCAUGGGGAGCGAACAGG